UUUGACUUUCUGAGACUCUGGUCUCUCUAUCUUUUCAGUUCACUUCCUCUUCUUUGGCUUCACUCGACAACUCUUAGACUCAGACUUAGAACUCUUACAGGUUUUUAUUCAAAUUCAGAUACCUUGAAAUUCAGAUACUUUGAUACUCUGAUACUUUGAUAUUUUAAUAUUUUAAUACUUAAUAUUUUGGUACAUUUGAUUCGAACAGAAUAGUUUAUUAGAAUUGUUUAUGUUUUAAUUACAAUUGUAUUAAUGUUUUGAUUAAUACUGGUUGGGUUCAAUCCAUCAUAAAUGGAUUGUUAUUAAAAAUGUACUAACAUUGGAUUUACAUUUUCUAUAUUUGAAGGUUGUUAUUAUUAUCAAGAACUUUAUUUCCAAGUUAUGAUGAUUUGUGGUUUCUGUUCUCUAUAUUCUUUUUAAUAAAUUUACCUAUUAUUACACCUUGACCGUCUGAAUUGGAUUAAAUUUUGCAUCACAUAGAUUUAAUUUUCUCCAUUCCGGUUCUUAGAGAUGCAUGUGACAGAAACAUUUACAGGAUCAGUAAAUCAAGCAGUAGUAUGUGUAAAAGUUUUUUUUCCAGGUAUAAAGAAAAAUAUUUUCUAAAUUAUGGUAACAUGACUAUUUUAUUCUAAACUGCAUAAUGCUGUUUGCUAUCCCGUGUGUUUGUUAGAUACAUGUAGUCAUCUAGUGCACUAAAUCUUCCUUAGUGCAUCCUAACACAUAAUUGCACUGAAUCAUUUUUAUUUUUAUUUGAUGUACACUUUAACAGACAAACAGAGUACUGCGACUGCAGAAAUGUCAUCUGUAAUGUUUUACCCUGUGGAUCCCAUCAAGUUAGGGCUUAAUUUAAGUCCAACAAAAAAAUAAAGGUAAAAAGAAAAUAUCAUCUUUCCUCUUUUUCAAGGUGUUGCUGGAUAUCAGUGUUAUUGAAAGGAAUGUAAACAAAUGCUAAAGUAUGCCAAGCAAUUAAUACAAUUUCAAUUUAAUUAAACAUCCUCCUAAUGCUGUUUAUGAUGAUGGUAUACCAAUUCACGUACUUAUAUUUCAUUCUCAGAUUUUACUGUCUUCUGUGCCCUGCGGGUGAACAGGCAUCUUUCAAAUGAAUUAAUUUAGAGUUGUUCUUCAGUCAAAAUUAUAUAAAUAAUUUACUGUAUAUUUCUACUGUAUAUUUUUGUAAUGCAGGAAAUGGCCAAUCAUUAUGUAGGAUAAUAAUGAUAAUUUUGGAGUGGCACCCAAGGUGAACAACAACAACAAUAUGGGUACUGUUUCAUAAAACAAGUUUACCAGAUAAGCCAGGCUUAUUUCAGUUAGUCUGACUUUUUUUUUUUUCACUUGAUUUGGUUUCAUAAAGCAAAUUUAUCAUAGCUCAAGCUCAGUCACUCUGGCAGCUUAUGCUGGGAAACAAACCUGGUCCGGAGCAAGCUGAUUUCCUCUAACACUGACCUGUAGGAACACAAUGAUAUUACCACUGACUCUCUCACAUACAAUUAUCUGACUUUAUCAUCAGUCAAAAAUAAAAGUAUACGAAAGUGCA
ensembl:lncRNA